rnacentral:rRNA from 1 species
CUACGGGAUGCACCAGUGAGGAAUAUUGCACAAUGGGGGGAACCCUGAUGCAGCAACGCCGCGUGGAGGAUGACGCAUUUCGGUGUGUAAACUCCUUUUAUAUGUCAAGAAAAUGACGGUAGCAUAUGAAUAAGCACCGGCUAACUCCGUGCCAGCAGCCGCAGUAAUACGGAGGGUGCAAGCGUUACUCGGAAUCACUGGGCGUAAAGGACGCGUAGGCGGGUUGGAAAGUCAGGUGUGAAAUCCUACAGCUUAACUGUAGAACUGCACUUGAAACUUCUAAUCUAGAGUAUGGGAGGGGGAGAUGGAAUUAGUGGUGUAGGGGUAAAAUCCGUAGAUAUCACUAGGAAUACCUAAAGCGAAGGCGAUCUCCUGGAACAUUACUGACGCUAAGGCGUGAAAGCGUGGGGAGCAAACAGGAUUAGAUACCCGCGUAGUC